AUCCCUGUUGUACAAACGGUCUACACGUUUGGCUGUCAACCAAAAGGUUGGUGGCUCAAGACCACCUAGAGGUU
rnacentral:tRNA from 1 species